rnacentral:rRNA from 1 species
GCGCACCAGUCGCGAAAACUUCGCAAUACACGAAAGUGUGACGAGGCCAUCCCGAGUGCCAUCCGCUGAGGAUGGCUUUUCACCGGUCCAACCAGCCGGUGGAAUAAGGGGAGGGCAAGUCUGGUGUCAGCCGCCGCGGUAAUACCAGCUCUCCGAGUGGUAGGGAUGAUUAUUGGGCUUAAAGCGUCCGUAGCUGGCCUUUCAAGUCUCUUGUUAAAUCCAGCGAUUCAAUCGUUGGAUUGCGGGAGAUACUGUUAGGCUAGGGGGCGGGAGAAGCCGACGGUAUUUCCGGGGUAGGGGUAAAAUCCUAUAAUCCCGGGAAGACCACCAGUGGCGUAGGCGGUCGGCUAGCACACGCUCGACAGUGAGGGACGAAAGCUGGGGUAGCGAACCGGAUUAGAUACCCGGGUAGUCC